rnacentral:rRNA from 1 species
GAUGAACGCUGGCGGCGUGCUUAACACAUGCAAGUCGAACGAUGAAGCCCAGCUUGCUGGGUGGAUUAGUGGCGAACGGGUGAGUAACACGUGAGUAACCUGCCCUUAACUCUGGGAUAAGCCUGGGAAACUGGGUCUAAUACCGGAUAGGAGCGUCCACCGCAUGGUGGGUGUUGGAAAGAUUUAUCGGUUUUGGAUGGACUCGCGGCCUAUCAGCUUGUUGGUGAGGUAAUGGCUCACCAAGGCGACGACGGGUAGCCGGCCUGAGAGGGUGACCGGCCACACUGGGACUGAGACACGGCCCAGACUCCUACGGGAGGCAGCAGUGGGGAAUAUUGCACAAUGGGCGCAAACCUGAUGCAGCGACGCCGCGUGAGGGAUGACGGCCUUCGGGUUGUAAACCUUUUUCAGUAGGGAAGAAGCGAAAGUGGCGGUACCUGCAGAAGAAGCACCGGCUAACUACGUG